rnacentral:piRNA from 1 species
UGCAGUCUCAAAACAGAUUUUGUGGGACUC